UUCAGCUUCACCAACCAUGUUCUCUGUCACCCUUAUGCUGCUGCUGUUAGCAGCUGGAUCAGGUGUUCGAUCUGAGACACUGAGACAGCCAGCCUCUGUGUCUGUGCUGCCUGGUGAACGACUGCAGAUCACCUGUCGUGUCUCGUAUUCUGUUAGCACAUAUGUAACAGCCUGGAUCAGACAGCCUGCAGGAAAAGGACUGGAGUGGAUUAGCAGUGACACAACUAUUAAAGAUUCAUUAACCAACAAGUUCAGUGCAAAUCUAGAUUAUUCAAACAACAUAGUGACUCUGAAGGGACAGAAUAUGCAGCCGGAGGACUCUGCUGUGUAUUACUGUGCCAGAGAUCCACAGUGACACAGAUCAGCAGCAGACGUGAACAAAAACCCCACUGUGACUGAACAGCUGCUUCGGGUAGCUGAAACUUCUGAUGUUCAGGAAAAAAAUACUGUAAUUAAAAAGCCUGUAAUAAAAAUGUGCAUCUACAUC